CUAUUGUAAUGCAGUUUCCCUCUUUAUCCCUCUUUUCUAUUCUUUUCCACAGGAAAAUAGAAAUCCAACAACAGUUAUGACGCAGAAACUGGAUCUUGGUUCUUCAGAAAUUAACUAAUUAAUGGAAUAGAGUUGCUCAUACUCAAGAUCAAAGAGGAUUUAUAACAGAAGUUGGGGCAUUGCAAGACAUUGCUAAGACUAUACGGAGAAUUAAAGGGAAUGGUGCUAUUUUCGGAGCAGGAGCUGGUGUGAACACUACUGAACUGAAUGGAGAGAAUCACUGAAUGGUUGUGGUUGUAAGAGACCUCCGGAAGUCAUCUUGUCCAAUCCAGCUCAAGAAAGAUCAUCUAGACUCAGUUUCCCAGGACUGUGUUUAGACAGCUUUGAGUAUCUUCAAGGAUGAAGACUCCACAACCCUCUGCAUAACCUGUGCCAGUGCUCAGUCACUCUCACAAAACAAAAGGGUUUCCUGAUGUUCAGAGAGCCUCUUGCAUUUUCGUUUGUAUGCAUUAUCUCUGAGUCUGUUACUGAGCAAUUCAGGAAAGAGCCUGGCUCUGUCCUCUUUGCACCCUCCCUUCAGGUAUUUUGUGUGCAUUCACAAGAUCCAGCUGCACCUUCUCUCCUCUAGUGUGAGGAAUUGCAGCUCUCUCAGCCUUUCCUCACAUGUGAGGUACUCCAGUCCCUACAUCAUUCUUUGCUGGACUCUCUCCAGUAUGUCCAUGUCUCUUUUGUACUGGAGAAUUGGACACAGGACUCCAGGUGUGGCCUUAUCAGUGUUGAGCAGAGAGGAAGGAUCUCCUGCCUUGACCUGCUGUGAGUAUUUGUCUAAUGCAGGCAUUAGUCUGCUUUGCAGAAAGGGUGCAUUGCUGGCUGGUGUUCAGCCUGGUGUCCUGCAGAACCCCCAGGUCCUUUUCUGCCAAGCUGCUUUCCAGCUGGUCAGCCCUCAGCAUAUACUGGUGCCUGGGGCUGUUCCUCCUCAGAUGCAGGACUUUGUACUUCAUCUUGUUGAGCUUCAUGAGGUUCCUAUCAGCCAUUUCUCCAGACUGUUGAGGUCCCUCUGGAUGGCAGCAUGACUGUCUGGCUUAUCAGGCACUCCUCCCAGUUUGGUGUCAGCAGCAGACUGGCUAAGGGUACACUGUGCCCCAUCAUCCAGACCAUUAAUGAAAAUGUUCAGCAGUAUUGUACCCAAUAUUGAUCCCUGAGAUAUACCACUAACUAAUGACCUCCAACUAAAUUUUAUACCUAAGUACCUAGUACAUUCAUGGUCAUUUCAAGAAUAAGUAGUAAAUAUUUCGUAUGCUGAUGUGCACGCAAUCUACUGUAACACUACUGAGACUUCAGAUUCAAAUAAGCAGAACUUAGGGAAAUGUUAAAAUUAUUUGCUUAUCCUGUAGCUAACAUGAGGUGUAUAAGAAUAAUGAUAUUUUGGUAUAUUAUUGUAUUAA